ACGGCUCUCUCGGGAGCU
rnacentral:snRNA from 1 species